GACAUCGACGGAUCGAUGAAGGCCACCAAGGAUGGAAGCCAAGGGACUGUCGCAGGAUCGCGAUAUCAUCAGGAUGAUGGCCCACGGAAGAAAGGAAGAACAUGAAGCGACAAGGCGAUCCCUUGUCGCUUUUUG
rnacentral:sRNA from 1 species